CGGCCGAGCUGGGCGGGCGUCCUAAUUACUCCGGUUAAUCUCAUUAAUUCCAUUGUGCGGCGCAGUUAACAACUCCUUGCGCCCGACCUCUCCGCCCCCACCCUUUUUUUUUUUUUUUUUUUUUCUCAGAUUGGGUCCUAUUAUUGGGUGCGAUUUCCUCUGCGAGAAACUCAAAUUCAUUGUGGCCAGUUUUACUUUGAGGCUACUUUUUCUCCCCACGUCGGAAUUUGUUUUGUUUUAGAAAAUGCGAGGGGCUGCGUCCUCUUUCAAGCAAGAUUAAAAAUUCCGCCUUUCCUCCGAGCCCCCAAGCACUCACCGCCUAAUUUCACCUCAGUUUUUUUUUUUUAUCUUGAGGUUUUCUCCCGAGUGGAACUGGUUAACCCCACCCCAACCUUUUUGUUUUUGCAAAGGCCAAAAUUUCUAAAGGCAAAAACGACGAAAGAGGUGCGUUGUGGUUCUUAAAAUACAUGCAUAUAUAUAUUUUUUGCAGUCACUUUGGCUCUGAAAUCUACCGUAAGAAUCCGUAGGCCCUUACACAGCGGACACCAAAUUCAGCCGCUAUUUAAAAUUCGCCACCAAGAGCAGCAUUCUAGAAGCGAUGCUUCCCGCUGCUCCCUGUGUGGGGGCCGGUAGGUUUAUGUUUGUUUGCUUUUUUUCUUUUCUUUGGUAAAAAUCGCUUUUGGAAACGGGGUGUCUUCUCCCCCAUACUGUUUUUGUUUUUCAAUCCCCAAACGGGGCUUUUGGGAUUCCUCACCCCAUUCCCCAACAACUGAGUCGAAUUUCCCCCCGUGCGUCUCGCCGGUUCCCCGACUGGGACAGGCCACCUAGCUGUCCUUCGCCCAACAGGCCCAGGCUGGACUCCCGGAGCCCCGGCGGCCUGGCCCAAGCCGGACUCUGCUCGCGGCAGGCGGCCGCGGUGAUUUGCGGGAUCCUCCGCGCGGCACGGCCGGUCCGCCGGAGCUGCCGGAGGCGCAUCCAAGCCCACCACCGUGCGCAGGCGGCAGAGCGCCUUUCGAGAAGCCUCUCUCCCGGUCACAGAGCACAGCUCAUAAUCGGAUGCCCUUAAGAAGAUUUUUUCGUGGCAUGGGCAAAAAGCCGGCGUGUCCCUUACAAAGACUUUCCCGAGAGACCUCGCCCCUCUGUGAAGUUCUGGAAGCAGUGAGGGGAGACAGGAAGCAACAGAGACCAGUUUGUGCACAGCUGAGCCACCAAGCAGAGUGAGAUCUUCUGUAUAGAGAGACUGGGAGACAAAAUGUGAUUAAGAAAGAAGACUGGCCGGGAAAGACAGGAGGAGGUGUUUUAUUUACAUUUCUUACGCAUUCCAACACAUCUUACUGUGGUCAGCAAACCGGAAAGGAAAGGACAUAUUUCAUAACCUAAAGAAGGCACCAGACUUUUGUUUUGUUUUGUUUUUCCUCAGCAUUCUACAUUCCUAUCUUACCCUUCUGCCCAUUUUGAAAUGAAUAAGGGUAGAUUUUUCCUGUUAGCCGUAGUUGUAAAGUUCUUGGAAAAACAAUUGAUUUGCUAAUAAAAUAUUUCCGUAGCUUUCA
ensembl:lncRNA